GGAAUGGUUUUCAUUGGUAAGAUACGACAAUUGCUAAUUGUUUGGUUUAAAACAACCUUGGGUGUUCGACUCGCCUCCAUUCCA
rnacentral:tRNA from 1 species